rnacentral:rRNA from 2 species
GGAUACGGCCAUACUGCAUAAAAUGCACUGCUUCCCAUCCGAACAGCGAAGUUAAGUUAUGCCAGGCUUUGUUAGUACUGGAUUAGGAGACUAUCUGGGAAUCCAAAGGGCUGUAUCCUUUU